CACUCCGUCCAGGGUGUAUCCUGUCUUGAUGCCCGAUGAUGCCUGAGAUGAGGUUAGUUCGGAUAUGAAUGAAGUUCGGAUGUAAUAGAAAAUGAAUGAAUGAAUGAAUAAAUUAAGCUGAUGAAAGUCUACUCUAUGCUUGAAAUUGUGAAAACAGUUUGCCCAGUUUGUCAGGAAUCCUCAGCUUUAAAUGCUUUGAAGGAAAUAAAGUGAACGAAGUGUGAAAAGCAUCUGCAAAUUAUGCCAGCCAACAAUUUUGGAGAUCAUGUGGAAUCAUGAACAGAAUAAUAGACUGGAGCAGUUGAAAAUUUGCCUGAAAGAAGGUGCACAUUUCCCAUAGCAGGAUGGUUACCUGUAGAUCUAUAAGGCAUCCGCCUGCUUUCCAGGGCCCUGUCAAAAAGAGCCAGCUUCACCAUCAGUCUCUUCCAGAUGAUUAACUAUGCCGCUGCCUACCUACACCGUGAUCUGAGGGGGAUCUGCUCUGAGUGUGCGAGGUGAGCAAGCCAGAGGUGAAGGUGGCAAGGAAAACUCCCUGAGAUGAUGACAUGAGGAAGAAACCUUGAGAGGACCCAGACUCUGAAUUGAACCUAUCUUCAUUUGGGUGAAACUGAUCAGUAAAUAAUGUAAAUACAGUAAAUAAUGUCUUUUCUAUAACAGUUUAUAAAAGUGUAAAUAAAAGCUCCUGGGGAAUGAAUUGGUCAGCAUAAAAACCCGAGUUCACCACAAACCCAACACUAAAGGUAACUCCUUCCUGCCGAAGUCUUCAAACUAUAAAUUAGAUUUUUUAUUUUCUUUUCCCAAUCAGUUAUACUCUUUAGUACGCUGUGUUGAGUUUUAUAAAAUGGAAACCAAGAGCCUGAGGUGUGUAAAUUAAAUAUUAAAACCCCACCACACACAGACAAACAUCAUGUAGAUACUGAACUACAGUCCACAAUGUUCUCAGUUUAAAAAGCAGGAUGUGCAGUGACAGAAACCAAAAGAGCAUGAGAUACUUC